CAAGAGUAGGUUAUUAUCAGGUUUCAAUGUUGAUAUGUUAACUAAAGCAGUAGCUCUAUCAUCAAGACAAAGACAAAAGCUACUAAGACAAUUUAAAUGCACUCCAGCUGUGUCCUGUCUCCACAGUUUCUGUGAUAAAGGAGCAUGGGCUGAUCCUGCUCUUCGUCCAAUGCUUGAGUAUUGUGGAUACAGACUGCUUAAUGGUCACAUACAGUUAUACAGAGGAACCAAUGAUAGGAAUGUAAUGGGUAGAGAUGUGAUCAGGUCUACCACAAUGGCUGUACUUGCUGUUGAUAUUAUACUACAUAAAGACACUGAAGGAACAAUAUUAUAAUAAUAA